rnacentral:snRNA from 1 species
CUACCUACUUGUUAGGGCGGAGUGGUGGCUCUGAGUUGGUCCUCCCAGGUCGAGGGUCAUACAUUACAUUCUGGGAUACGCCAAGCCCUGCAAUUUCCCCAAAUGUGGGGAACUCAGCUGCAUAAUUUGUGGUAGUGGGGGGACUAUGUUUGCGCUCCCUCCUG